GACAGAGGAUGCAAGCGUUAUCCGGAAUGAUUGGGCGUAAAGCGUCUGUAGGUGGUUUGACAAGUCUUCUGUCAAAGAUCAGGGCUUAACCCUGGGCAGGCAGGAGAAACUAUCAGGCUAGAGUUCGGUAGGGGCAGAGGGAAUUCCCGGUGGAGCGGUGAAAUGCGUAGAUAUCUGGAGGAACACCGGUGGCGAAGGCGGCAUCCUGGACCAACACUGACGCUGAGUGAGCGAAAGCCAGGGGAGCAAACGGG
rnacentral:rRNA from 1 species